GCUGGGUGCAGUGGCGCACACCUGUGAUCCCAGCAGCUCAGGAGGCUGAUUCAGGAGGAUGGCGAGUUCAAAGCCAGCCUCAGCAACAGCAAGGAGCUAAGCAACUCAGUGAGACCCUGUCUCUA
rnacentral:sRNA from 1 species